UCUGGUCAAAAUGAAUUGACCAAUAAGGUAUAAGGACGAGGAUCACACUCUUCUGACCAAAGCCGUUGAUUAAGUAAAUCUAAUGGACCAAAAUGAACAAGAUGAAAAGAUGUAUUUCUUCAUCUCUCUCCUCUUACCUCUCGUAUUCGUCUCUUCCACUUUCUCUAUCUCUCAUCUUCUUCUCCAUGCCUUUUAACAAAACUGUCUCAACCACCAUCACCAUAAACGAAUCAGUGUCAACACCCAUCACAAUAAAAAAAAUCUGUCUCAACCUUCAUCACCAAUCACCAUAAAUGAAUCUGUCUCAAUCUUCAUCAGCUCAAACAAAAUCUGACGAGAAGAACAUGUUGAUUUAUGAGAGAUAAUACUGUCGAGUAAGCAAACAGAGGCUCUGGAAGACCUGUUCCGUAGCCAUCCCGAAGGAAAGAAUUGAACUAGUGAGAAGAACCAGAGGAGCAAUGCUACGGGAGUAAGCAAAUAGAGGUUUUGGAGGCUGGAGGUGGAUGCUCUGGAGGCUGCAGGCUGGAGGCGAAGGAUUAGGGUUGCAGGCGGAGGCUUAGUCUAGGUUUAGAAUAAUUAUGUUUUGGUUUAAUGUUUUAAUUUGUUUUUGGUUUAAUGUGUUCGUAUACUGAUUUUAAUUAAUAAAUAAAAUUUAAUUUUUAAUUA